rnacentral:misc_RNA from 1 species
UACGAGUGCCCCGAGCGUUAUCCGGAUUUAUUGGGCGUAAAGAGUCUGUAGGUGGCUUUGUAAGUUGAUGGUUAAAUCAUAUGGCUCAACCAUGUGACCGCCGUCAAUACUGCUUAGCUUGAGGCUGGAAGAGGCAACUGGAAUUGCUGGUGUAGGGGUAAAAUCCGUUAAUAUCAGCAGGAACACCAAAUGCGAAGGCAUGUUGCUGGGACAGUUCUGACACUGAGAGACGAAAGCGUGGGGAGCGAAUGGG